rnacentral:pre_miRNA from 1 species
UUGGCUUAGUGCAGCUCGGGGACUGAUGGCCCACCAGGGCCAGCAGCAAAACCACCAACACGACCAGCACUUUGAAUCCCCCGUGGUUGAACUCCUUGAGGGGGUACUAUUCCAAAU